rnacentral:sRNA from 1 species
ACAACAAGAAUAAAAAAUGCGGCAAACCCAAUAAAAACAAGACGUACCGGAUCUGACAUAACAAGAACAAUACGGCAGAGACGAAGCUAACUGAUUUUUUUGAAGUGGAUGGCUUUUCCGGGGCGUGCCCCGCAACCAGACAGAGAACAAUAAAACUACCUCAAGGUAGCGCCCGUCACGGUUGGAUCAGCAAUGAUGAAGGUCGAUCAGCGCUCAAAAAAAUACGUUUGCUCUUGACCCCGGAUGGGGGUCGCACAAAACAGCGACAAGAGGCAACGGUUGACAAAAACAACAACAGACCGCCCUCCAAUAACAAAAAAAGAGCACGCAACAAUCUUUGAGGGGAGCUUCGGCUCCCCUCAGUGCAUUCAAGCCUUGCCAUUUUCCUCCUUGU